GGGGCGUUUGGUCGCGGAGGACAUU
rnacentral:rRNA from 1 species